GUCAUAUCGCUUCGGUCAAAAUAGGACAAAUCAUGCGAAGGAUAUAACGAGCAAUUUUGUAAAAUAAAUUUGUCAUAAUCUUUUACGGUUGCGAAGGAGAUGCGCUAACAAGGAAAACAGUGUUUGGGGAGAUAACUCCUACAAAGAAAAGUAUUCGUUUACGCAGGGUAAAUUUCAAAAGUGCAUAAACUGUUCGAUAUCAUAUACCAAAUAUCUAAGCGACAUAUUGCGAAACAAAUGUUUAUCGCAAGAACAAAAUUAGGCGGAAGAAAAAAAAAAAAAUAAUCAGAAGAAAAACAAUAGGUCUUUCCACAGAAAAGUGGAAAGACCUAAUAAUAAUAAUAAUCAGAAGAAAUCCAAUAGGUCUUUCCA
rnacentral:lncRNA from 1 species